rnacentral:rRNA from 1 species
GACGAACGCUGGCGGCGUGCCUAAUACAUGCAAGUAGAACGCUGAAGAGAGGAGCUUGCUCUUCUUGGAUGAGUUGCGAACGGGUGAGUAACGCGUAGGUAACCUGCCUUGUAGCGGGGGAUAACUAUUGGAAACGAUAGCUAAUACCGCAUAACAAUGGAUGACACAUGUCAUUUAUUUGAAAGGGGCAAUUGCUCCACUACAAGAUGGACCUGCGUUGUAUUAGCUAGUAGGUGAGGUAAUGGCUCACCUAGGCGACGAUACAUAGCCGACCUGAGAGGGUGAUCGGCCACACUGGGACUGAGACACGGCCCAGACUCCUACGGGAGGCAGCAGUAGGGAAUCUUCGGCAAUGGGGGCAACCCUGACCGAGCAACGCCGCGUGAGUGAAGAAGGUUUUCGGAUCGUAAAGCUCUGGUGUAAGUCAAGAACGGGUGUGAGAGUGGAAAGUUCACACUGUGACCGUAGCUUACCAGAAAGGGACGGCUAACUACGUGCCAACAGCCGCGGUAAUACCUAGGUCCCGAGCGUUGUCCGGAUUUAUUGGGCGUAAAGCGAGCGCCAGCGGUUUGAUAAGUCUGAAGUUAAAGGCUGUGGCUCAACCAUAGUUCGCUUUGGAAACUGUCAAACUUGAGUGCAGAAGGGGAGAGUGGAAUUCCAUGUGUAGCGGUGAAAUGCGUAGAUAUAUGGAGGAACACCGGUGGCGAAAGCGGCUCUCUGGUCUGUAACUGACGCUGAGGCUCGAAAGCGUGGGGAGCGAACAGGAUUAGAUACCCUGGUAGUCCACGCCGUAAACGAUGAGUGCUAGGUGUUGGAUCCUUUCCGGGAUUCAGUGCCGCAGCUAACGCAUUAAGCACUCCGCCUGGGGAGUACGACCGCAAGGUUGAAACUCAAAGGAAUUGACGGGGGCCCGCACAAGCGGUGGAGCAUGUGGUUUAAUUCGAAGCAACGCGAAGAACCUUACCAGGUCUUGACAUCCCGAUGCUAUUUCUAGAGAUAGAAAGUUACUUCGGUACAUCGGUGACAGGUGGUGCAUGGUUGUCGUCAGCUCGUGUCGUGAGAUGUUGGGUUAAGUCCCGCAACGAGCGCAACCCCUAUUGUUAGUUGCCAUCAUUCAGUUGGGCACUCUAGCGAGACUGCCGGUAAUAAACCGGAGGAAGGUGGGGAUGACGUCAAAUCAUCAUGCCCCUUAUGACCUGGGCUACACACGUGCUACAAUGGUUGGUACAACGAGUUGCGAGUCGGUGACGGCGAGCUAAUCUCUUAAAGCCAAUCUCAGUUCGGAUUGUAGGCUGCAACUCGCCUACAUGAAGUCGGAAUCGCUAGUAAUCGCGGAUCAGCACGCCGCGGCGAAUACGUUCCCGGGCCU